UACAGAGGGGGCGAGCGUUAUUCGGAAUUAUUGGGCGUAAAGGGCGCGUAGGCGGCUAAGUAAGUCUCGGGUGAAAUCCCUCGGCUCAACCGAGGAACUGCCUUGGAAACUGCUUGGCUUGAGGCCGGGAGAGGAUGGUGGAAUUCCCAGUGUAGCGGUGAAAUGCGUAGAUAUCGGAAGGAACACCAGUGGCGAAAGCGGCUUCCUGGUCCAGCACCGACGUUCAGGCACGAAAGCGUGGGGAGCAAACAGG
rnacentral:rRNA from 1 species